AUUGAACGCUGGCGGCAGGCUUAACACAUGCAAGUCGAGCGGGGUGAUGGUGCUUGCACUAUCACUUAGCGGCGGACGGGUGAGUAAUGCUUAGGAAUCUGCCUAUUAGUGGGGUACAACAUCUCGCAAGGGAUGCUAAUACCGCAUACGUCCUACGGGAGAAAGCAGGGGAUCACUUGUGACCUUGCGCUAAUAGAUGAGCCUAAGUCGGAUUAGCUAGUUGGUGGGGUAAAGGCCUACCAAGGCGACGAUCUGUAGCGGGUCUGAGAGGAUGAUCCGCCACACUGGGACUGAGACACGGCCCAGACUCCUACGGGAGGCAGCAGUGGGGAAUAUUGGACAAUGGGGGGAACCCUGAUCCAGCCAUGCCGCGUGUGUGAAGAAGGCCUUAUGGUUGUAAAGCACUUUAAGCGAGGAGGAGGCUCUUUUGGUUAAUACCCAAGAUGAGUGGACGUUACUCGCAGAAUAAGCACCGGCUAACUCUGUGCCAGCCGCCGCUGUAA
rnacentral:rRNA from 1 species